AGACUGGGAUAACACCGGGAAACCGGUGCUAAUACCGGAUAAUCCUUUUUCUCUCAUGAGGGAAAGCUGAAAGACGGCGUAAGCUGUCACUUACAGAUGGGCCCGCGGCGCAUUAGCUAGUUGGUGAGGUAAUGGCUCACCAAGGCGACGAUGCGUAGCCGACCUGAGAGGGUGAUCGGCCACACUGGGACUGAGACACGGCCCAGACUCCUACGGGAGGCAGCAGUAGGGAAUCUUCCGCAAUGGACGAAAGUCUGACGGAGCAACGCCGCGUGAGCGAAGAAGGCCUUCGGGUCGUAAAGCUCUGUUGUCAGAGAAGAACAAGUAUCGGAGUAACUGCCGGUACCUUGACGGUACCUGACCAGAAAGCCACGGCUAACUACGUGCCAGCAGCCGCGGUAAUACGUAGGCGGCAAGCGUUGUCCGGAAUUAUUGGGCGUAAAGCGCGCGCAGGCGGUCCUUUAAGUCUGAUGUGAAAGCCCACGGCUCAACCGUGGAGGGUCAUUGGAAACUGGGGGACUUGAGUGCAGAAGAGGAGAGUGGAAUUCCACGUGUAGCGGUGAAAUGCGUAGAGAUGUGGAGGAACACCAGUGGCGAAGGCGACUCUCUGGUCUGUAACUGACGCUGAGGCGCGAAAGCGUGGGGAGCGAACAGGAUUAGAUACCCUGGUAGUCCACGCCGUAAACGAUGAGUGCUAAGUGUUAGAGGGUUUCCGCCCUUUAGUGCUGCAGCUAACGCAUUAAGCACUCCGCCUGGGGAGUACGGCCGCAAGGCUGAAACUCAAAGGAAUUGACGGGGGCCCGCACAAGCGGUGGAGCAUGU
rnacentral:rRNA from 1 species